CGAUGAUGAAUAGGUUGUUGUGUGUAUAUUAUUGAAGAGUACAUAAGCUAUAAUGUUAAUGAAACUGUCUGGUGUAAGCAUGCCCAAGAUAAUACAAUUUACAACUGUAAAUGUAGACCAUGUAAUCAAGGACAUCGACAUAAAUGUCAUGGAAAGAAAUAAGAGUGAAUCGAAAUAGAGUCCUAUUUAUUUGAACAACAAAAGCGUCCUUAGUUGUGCCCAAACAAGGGUUGUGUGUUCCUUAUGAACUAGUAAUGUAAGAAAUCCCAAAGCUUUCACCCAAAUUUUGCUCUGGUGAGAAGUUAAAAGACAACAUUUGAAAAUAAGCCAGAGUCUUCUACUGCUAUUAGACAAUGGAAGGAUGGUUACACUAAUGUGGAUUUUUAGAUGUUAUGUGUUUGUAGCUUGGUUAAAGAAAAAUGGAAGGGUUGGAGAGAGAAUGCCAGCCAAUCGAGAAUGUCCUGCAACAAAACACCUGCCUGAAUUUUGAACUCUGAAUGAAGCUUUUUCCUAACAGCUGACUUUUAGAAGCUCUCUUGAUGACGAGCACCAAUAACUGCACAUAUUUGCAGAAAACAGCUGAAAUAUAACUCGUAAAGGCUGUUUGUUGUAGUUUCAUCGAAAAGAGGCUGUUAAAAGAAAACAAACUAAUAUCAGUGAAUUCAGUCAUUCAGUUCCGGUCGUCGGUUCAAUUGGGAACAUAGAAAUGCAUAAGCCCUUGGUGUUUUGAGACCAAAUAAGUGUUUUACUUCAAACAAGGCAAAAGCAACGAAUAACAAAAUAACAAAACACUUGCGUUCACAACGUGCCUCCUGUUGCUACCACGUCAACAAAUGAAGUUGUACAAAAGAAAACAUCAAAGAAGAAAUAAAAAAGACAACAGAAAAUAUCUAUUGAAUAUACAACAAUAAACAGAUGAAAACAAAAUUGUGCAAACAAGAAAAUAUGUUAUAUAAAAUGGUCUUUAAAUCGAAAAAUAUUAGAACCGGCGCUGAAGCCUCAUCAAGAUCAUACAUAUAUUUUGGCUUUGAAAAAGGUAUCGCAGAUAUCAGGCGUUUAAGAGCAUAAUACCUAUACGAUCCUCUAGCGGAUUUGAAUGGUAUAUUACAAAAAAAUUUCCUGAUCCCUUCCAGAUUUAUCAUUGGCUCCUCAAAAAUUUUUGGUCAUAUAUUGCAAAUUUAACAUUCAUACAACAAUCAACCAAUUUUGAAUAAUACAAAAAUAAAG